CUAGCGGCAGGCUUAACACAUGCAAGUCGAGGGGUAACAUUGUGCUUGCACAGAUGACGACCGGCGCACGGGUGCGUAACGCGUAUAGAACCUACCUUUUACUGGAGAAUAGCCUUUAGAAAUGAAGAUUAAUGCUCCAUAGUAUUGAGUUUUGGCAUCAAGACUUAAUUAAAGAUUUAUUGGUAAAAGAUGGCUAUGCGUCCUAUUAGUUAGAUGGUAAGGUAACGGCUUACCAUGACUUUGAUAGGUAGGGGUCCUGAGAGGGAGAUCCCCCACACUGGUACUGAGACACGGACCAGACUCCUACGGGAGGCAGCAGUGAGGAAUAUUGGGCAAUGGAGGCAACUCUGACCCAGCCAUGCCGCGUGAAGGAUGACUGCCCUAUGGGUUGUAAACUUCUUUUAUACAGGAAGAAACACUGGUAUGUAUACCAGCUUGACGGUACUGUAAGAAUAAGGACCGGCUAACUCCGUGCCAGCAGCCGCGGUAAUACGGAGGGUCCGAGCGUUAUCCGGAAUCAUUGGGUUUAAAGGGUCCGCAGGCGGUCGAUUAAGUCAGAGGUGAAAUCCCAUAGCUCAACUAUGGAACUGCCUUUGAUACUGGUUGACUUGAGUCAUAUGGAAGUAGAUAGAAUGUGUAGUGUAGCGGUGAAAUGCAUAGAUAUUACACAGAAUACCGAUUGCGAAGGCAGUCUACUACGUAUGUACUGACGCUGAGGGACGAAAGCGUGGGGAGCGAACAGGAUUAGAUACCCUGGUAGUCCACGCCGUAAACGAUGGAUACUAGUUGUUGGGCAUUAGCUCAGUGACUAAGCGAAAGUGAUA
rnacentral:rRNA from 1 species